AUCAUCUCAGUCAGCAGCUGCACCUCUGCAGCCUUUUCUUUGGUACUGUACACUAACAAGCAUGUUGUAACUGUGGAGGAGCCAAAAUAGGAGAAACAUUAGGAAUUUUUCAGAAAGUGUUAAAUUUUUUGGUUCCAUGUUACACAAAAGGAACGAGUGCAAACAGAUGUAAUGGAGUUUUUACUUAUUGUAAAGACUACAAAUAGAUUUUCCACCACUGCUUUAAUAGCCACAACAUUUAGUGCCAUCUUGUGGUUAAAACACAUCAAAUCAGCCAAAUCAUAUGAACAACAAAAUUUCCAACACAUAUAAUACUUUAUUCAGUUGUUGUAGUGAUGGUGUAUUAUUAUGUAUCUGUUGUGUUAUAAACCCACAGCCCCUGUAAACAGUGUGUACUAAACUGACACCAUACUACAGACUGAAGGGCGAGCAUAACCAUAAAAGAUUUUGAAAACUAAAUAUAAGGAAGAGAAAAUGUGAUUGCUACAGGCAAAAAAAACAGAUAUGAAAAAAACAACAAAGAGACAAAACAAAAUCAUAAAAGCACAAAAAUAAUUCAGUCAAUCACUUUUCAGUUGAAAACGUCCCUAAAUAUAUUUGACUGAUGGGUUUUCCUGAUGAGGCCACAUGUCUGUGCCCAGGCGCCAAUUACCUGAUUGUCACUGUUAGUAUGUAUUGAUGCCAAACCUAACCUGGAUGAAGAAGCCAUUAUGUUAAGGUUACAUUUUCAGCCUCUAGCAGUAGGAUCGUGUUUAGCUGUUUUUGUGGGUUUUACAAAAGCUGCUGCCACAAUUGUGAGACGAGGACAUACAUGAAGAUGUCAGAUCCACGAAGUAACAACAGGUCAUUUUGCGUGCAGUGAAGUGAUUUGAUAGUUAAUGUUAGGAGCGCCUAUAAAUGCAGUGCUUGGGUAAAAGUACCCGAUUACUUACCGAGGAGAUCAAGAAGAAGCUGCAGGUGUUAUUUUUGUCCAGCAGGUGGAGAACUCUGAUCACCUGUUGCUGAUUGUAACGUGAAAGCGAACAGCGCUGGAUUCACGGAUAUCGACGCUCUGUAUUUCCAGCUGAAUCUGAAGUGAAUACACUCAGUUUUCCUUUUACUGUAAUAAUAUAAAUCUUAUAUCGGAAGAGCCCUCCGCUACUUUUUAUGCCAUAUUAUCACAAGCAUGAAGGCGUACAUAUUAAGAGGUUGUUUCUUAUCUUUCUUUCCCAGUUCAGAGGAUUACAGCUUAUCCACAAAGUACCUCCCAGUACUUUAUAUUUUUAGGUCGACCAUACUGCGAAACCUUCCCUGCGGACUUCCACCUGAAACCCCCCAACCGUUGCUCAGUCAGCAGGGUGCCGGGCCUGAGGACUGUGUGUGAGGCAUCCACCUCUCUCUGUGCACGUCAGAGACGGCUGUAGCGCAUGAAGGUGUGUGUGAGCACACAUCUACGAGCCGGGGGACACCCCGACCCUUCAAUCAAGUAUUAGCUGUCAAUAUUUGGACCUCCUUCCUGCUCCCCCCGCUCAUUAGGUGGUGGUGGUGUGAUUUCAUGCUUCUCACCAGGAGGCCUUCGCAAAGUCUCAGUCUGCUGUACAGACGGAUAAAGUGCUAAUUUGUGUGAUAUGAAAUGUUGACACUGUUAUAGUGUUAUAUGUUACAAGGAGGGACAAUAUGAGUGUGGUCAAUAACAUGACAGAUGAAGGAUAUGAAAGGUGCAAAGGCAGAGGUUGUGUGGUGGGCUCUAAACCUCAUUGAUUUACUAUAUUAAUUCAGAAAGAUAAGCACAGACAGUAGAGACAGCCAGUUUCAAGAAGAACUGUCGGUUCACAUUAUCUAUCUAUCUAUGUAUGUAUGAUUAUUUAGAGAAACCAGAACAUUGUUACCACCUUAUUUGCAAGUUAUAGUUCUUUAAAAGAAGGAAAACAUGGCUAUGUAAGAGACUAAAACAGUGAUACAGUUGAGAAAUGCAGCAGUCAUCUGCAGUGUAAUAAAACUGUGGCCCUUCUCUCAUCAUUGGGCAUUCAGUCUGCUCUUUAUAUGUCACAGGAUAAUGAAAUCCCCUCCUGGUAAAUCUGUUCUGACCUUUUUUCCCCCACUCACCUAGUAUCCAUAUGAUUAUCUGUUCUUUUCUUCACCAGCCCGCUGAUGUUUUUCACCAGUCUGUAGUAAACUUGAGCCCCACGUUCAAGUGGCUGCCUCCUUUGUUUUUUGGCAUUCAAGCUUUUCAGUGGAACACAGCAUCAGGAAAUUCUGUCCAGGUUUCAGACUGUGGACGUGGUCAUUAGAUAUAUGGUGUGUGAAACAGAACAAGAACACU
ensembl:lncRNA